GAUGAACGCUGGCGGCGUGCCUAAUACAUGCAAGUCGAGCGAACAGACGAGGAGCUUGCUCCUCUGAUGUUAGCGGCGGACGGGUGAGUAACACGUGGAUAACCUACCUAUAAGACUGGGAUAACUUCGGGAAACCGGAGCUAAUACCGGAUAACAUGUUGAACCGCAUGGUUCAACAGUGAAAGACGGUCGUGCUGUCACUUAUAGAUGGAUCCGCGCCGCAUUAGCUAGUUGGUAAGGUAACGGCUUACCAAGGCAACGAUGCGUAGCCGACCUGAGAGGGUGAUCGGCCACACUGGAACUGAGACACGGUCCAGACUCCUACGGGAGGCAGCAGUAGGGAAUCUUCCGCAAUGGGCGAAAGCCUGACGGAGCAACGCCGCGUGAGUGAAGAAGGUCUUCGGAUCGUAAAACUCUGUUAUUAGGGAAGAACAAAUGUGUAAGUAACUAUGCACGUCUUGACGGUACCUAAUCAGAAAGCCACGGCUAACUACGUG
rnacentral:rRNA from 1 species